rnacentral:ncRNA from 1 species
UUAGCUACUUUAGAUAGGUUUGUAUUCAUUCAUGAUGGAUACAAACGUUAAACAACUUGUUUGUAUCUAUGAUGGCUAAAGAACUUUGUAAUGCGACAGAGGGCCACGUAGACGAUUACGCUAAGUGGCUGAGGAAAAGCAUACAAAGAAUCUUAUAUUUGUAUCUUAAACUUCGAAUUAUCCAA